rnacentral:lncRNA from 1 species
UUAUUUCUGACGGUAGAAGUUUAGCUGGAAAAGUUACAGGCGAAGUUAUUCCUUCCUGUGAACGUUAUCCAAAUAUAACUGAAUUUAUUUGAUGGAUUGAGGUUAAGUGAAUGUGAUAUAAAUAUUUAUAAAACACAAUCAUACUAUAUACAUAAUUUAUAUAUAUAUACACAUAUAUACACGCAUAUAUAUUCUAUGUACAUAUAUAUUGUCUCUAUAUAUAAAAUGGAAAAUGUACUGAGGAAUAAAUUCUGCACACAAAUAAUGCUGCAAGGUUUAAGCACCUACUUUGCCAAAAUUAGUAAAUACGAAGAAUUAUAUAUGAAAAUUAAAAGAAGUCCAGGCACAUACCUCAGAAAUCAGAGAUUAACCUGAGGUGAGCCUCUAGAAUUUUUCAAAGUAUUUACUUUACAAGAAGGGUUUGAGCAUUUCAGCUACUAAUUAUGUCUAUAAAUGACCAUCCGUAUAAUGAUCAAUAAAUACUUAACCCAGAUACACUAUCGCACCGUUAAUACGUUGUAUUUGUCCAAGGAAAUAUGUCCCCUGUGUUGUCUUAACUUUCCCUCCCUGUAUUAAUCAAGUAUUGAUAACCAUGACUUAAGGCCUGAAAAUAUUACAGUAGAAAACCUUGGCACAGGGAAAGCCAGAUCGUACGUGCGCAGGGUUAUUUAUCAGGCUGUCACCGAACCCUGGGGAAGUGCAGUUCCAGCUAAUUUAUGACCAUGUUGUUUUCAUUUUUACCCGGCGCGGGAAGAGCUUACACGGAGGCCCGGCGCUGAUUUCCACAGGAGCUGGGGCAGCCGAGGCACUUGUGGGCUUGCACAUUUUUUAUGGCACCUAUUUUCCCCUGACUCUGCUCUCUUCCCUAGAACAUUUAAGAACAUUUAUUAAACUCAACAGAAGCCAAGGGCUGUGUACGUGUGGUGAGGACAGAGAGUGGAAGUUGCCUUUUAGUUUUGCUGAUUGUUUCCUCCACCGUGCAGAAGCUUUUUAUCUUGAGAAUGAACCUGGACCACUUUGUUACACCAUACACAAAAACAAACUCAAAACGGAUGAAAGACCUAAAUGUUAAGACAGCAAGCCAUCAAAAUCCUAGAGGAGAAAGCAGGCAGAAACCUCUUUGACCUCAGCCACAGCAACUUAUUAGUCAACAUGUCUCUGGAGGCACGGGAAGCAAAAACAAAAAUGAACUAUUGAGACCAUAGCACAGUUUUGUAAAGUAGGCUCCACACCCAACUCACAGCCCAAUGCAGGGCUUGAACUCACAACCCUGAGAUCAAGACCUGAGCUGAGAUCAAGAGUUGGCCACUGGAUGCUUAACUGACUGAGCCACCCUGGAGCCCCUUCAGAGCACAUUGUCUACAAAAACAUUCAAAUAAUAUUAAAUUCCUAUAGGUCAGCCUGGUAUGAUGCCAAUUUUGUGAAAUAGCUCUGAGAAUUUUCAUUUUUGUCUCUUUAUGAACCUUUAUUUCCCUGAAGAUGUCACCUCUCCAUUGAAGGCAACUGUCAUUCAGCUGAGAGUAAUACUCUCUCACUGCUGUGUAUGUGAAAGAAACAAGAUUUUGGAAUGUGAGAAAGAGGAUUGGUUCUUUGCCCCACUACCAGCUACACAGAGAUCUGUUGAGUAAAUCUCUUAACUAUUCUGUCCUUUUAGCACCUUGUCCCAAAGAUGUCAUAACAAUAUUUCUGUCCUUCAUGCUUUUCCAGAACCUUGCCCAUCCCUGUGAUGAGGUGAGGCCUUCUCUCACCCCCUCUCCCUUCUUCUGCUUGAAUCUGGGCAGGUUUUUGACAGUUCUGCUCAUCAGAGCAUGGCACAAAUAGCACUAUGUGGCUUCCACAGCAAGGUUAGGAAAGGCAAUACAGCCUCCACUUGGCUUGCUCUCUUUCUUUUGGGAUGUUUGCCUUUGGAAUCCAGCCAGUAUGCUGAUAGGAAGCCCAGACUAGUUCACUUCGAGAGGUCAAAUAGAGAGGCCUACAGGGACAGGAAUACAGUCCCUGGCCCAUAGUCAGCAUUAACAGCCAGACACUGAAUGACUAACUCUUCAGAUGAUUCUAGUUCUAGCCUUGGAGUC